AGCCGGCUCCAGGCUCCGAGCCAUCAGCCCAGAGCCCGACGCGGGGCUCGAACUCACGGACCGCGAGAUCGUGACCUGAGCUGAAGUCGGAUGCUCAACCGACUGAGCCACCCAGGCGCCCCAGCAUUGAUCUUCCCUUAAUUCUCAGAUCUAGCUUCAAGAGGAACCUAUCCGUUUGGGGAGAGGCACUUUUGAAUUGCGUUACAGAAAACCUUCAAACUCCACUUAUGAAAAUAUCAUUUGGAAAUAAGCACUUGGGAACAUGGAUACAGAUGCAAAUGCUUUCCUUUUUCAUCCUAAGACGUAGACUGAGACUCUGAAUUACAGAAACAAUUAGAUAAGACAUUUGAAGAAAAGCACACAAAUUGAGCUGCAAACGUCAUAACAGAUGACAAAUAAAAGUUGCUUGAGGACCAAUUUGAUUUAACAGAUCCAAAGGCGGUCUUUGAAACCCAGGCAGAAAUAUCUUUCCAGAAAGAAUGUAAACUGGGAGCUCCUGAGCCGGGCAUCAUAACUGAUCAUCAUCUGAUUCAGUCAACGCGUUUCCUGAAUGAUCACCACUAUUUCUAUAUACUCUCUUGUCCAAGUCAAAACUACACGUGUGGCAGAAGUAAUUUGUCCAGAGUACUCCGAGAGAAGAAUUUCUAUUCAGUUGUGCGGAGUAAAUGAAAGUAAUUUACUGAAAGUCUUUGCCUGGUAUUAUUUUGGUAUGCGGUCCAAGACAUGAUUAGAGGCACCUAUACUUGCCAGAUACACCAUUAAUUACUAUGUCAAGUCUUCAAUGAAGUCAUGAUUGAUGCUAUAAGUUUGUAGAAUCUGACUUCCCUUGGAGCAUUCGGUAUCUUUUUGUA